ensembl:lncRNA
CAAGAUCUCACUACGUGGCUGAAUUGCCCAGGCUGGGCUGGAACAUGCGAUCCGCCUGUCUCAGCCUCCUGGAGUGUUGAGAAUACAGGUGUGCACCGCCACGCGGACCUUAUAUUUUACAUUUUUCAUACUAAGCCUGUGCCACCCAGAGUGUUACACUACCGCCCAUCUCAGUACGCCUGCGCUACACUUCCGGGCUCAGAGCCCACGUGGCUGCCGCGAUGGACCGCGGCGCUGCAGAGCCCCGGAGGCGGCAAGGAGGAGGACGCAGCGAGCAGGUGUCUGGCUUGUCCCCCAGGGAACCACAGCAGAGCUCAGCUGUCCUGGUCCACAGGGGAGACGUCACCCACGGACCACACACCUCCUGCCACUGGAGGCCCCUGCUGGUGACCGCACAGUCCCCAUCCUCCUGACACCAGAAGCCAACGAGGACUCGGGCAGCUGCCAUCACCAGGCUUGUGCUGACUCCUUCCUAGACGGCAGGGACUCUCCAGGGCAGCAGCUCCCCUGGGGGUAGGGGUCCCUCAGGAAGGUCAGGCCCUCGGAAGACCCCUUCCCCUGGACCCUUCCAGGGCCCUUUCCCUCUCUCUCCCCUUCGAUUCUGUUUUCCUGCUGCCUUGACCUAGGGUUUUAGUGUUUCACUGCUCAGGACGGGGAGCGCUGCCAUUUUUCACACUUUUGCUUUGUUUUGGUCUGCUUUUGUGCCCUUAGCUGAGGUUCCUGUACAAGACAUGCCUUCAGGCUGUCCACACCUUGCUCCUUCCCUGGGGACAGAGGGAGUGGUCAGUCAUGCUUGGGGGUCUGAGCCAGCAUGGCCCCAAGUGCCUCACCACAACUUCACUUCUAAGGCCCCCAAAUGUGGCUGCACCUGACUGGGGCACGGCUUCUCCUCUAGGUGUCAUCCUAACACUCAGCCUGUUUAUUGCCGGGAAGCAAGAGUUGGGGGACAAGAGGAAGCAGCCUCUUGAGCUGGCCUCUGCGCCUGCCUGAACUUUCUUUCCGUUCCUGUGGCCGGCAGCACUAUCCCUCAGCCCUGGCCCCUUCCAUUUACAUUUUGUUUUUUGGUUCAGACCCCGUUCAACCCGGGUUCCAGUCCUGUGACUUGGUCAUCAACUGAACUGGUCACUCAGUGAAGAAUUCUAUGUAGUCUGUACAUUACAAUAUUCAGAACAAAGACAUGGUCAAAGGAAGCUCCAGCUUGAUGACUUCGCUUUUAUUUGCAUAACUCUUCCAUGCGGUACUGUAAUGUAUAACAGAACAUAAAGCUACAGCACUGUACUGUGCAGUACUAUCAGCAAAAAUUACAGCACUGAAUAAACAGGGUGUACUGUACAAUAAAAAGACAUUGAAGUUCUAUAAACAAGAUGUACAGAACUGUACAAAAAAAAAAGAUGGCUCAUAAAUCUGAGCAGAGGAUCUUAUGCCUCGGC